rnacentral:rRNA from 1 species
GAUAAACGCUGGCGGCGUGCCUAAUACAUGCAAGUCGAACGGAGGUAUGUAGCAAUACUUACCUUAGUGGCGAAUGGGUGAGUAACGCGUUGGUGACCUGCCCCGAAGAGGGGGAUAACGGUUCGAAAGGACUGCUAAUACCCCAUGUGGUUGUAAAAGUUAGAUAUCUUACAUCUAAAGGAGAAAUCCACUUCGGGAGGGGCCUGCGUCCCAUCAGCUAGUUGGUAGGGUAAUGGCCUACCAAGGCGACGACGGGUAGGGGGCCUGAGAGGGUGGCCCCCCACACUGGCACUGAAACACGGGCCAGACACCUACGGGAGGCUG